GGGUUUGAGUGCUGCCAUAUGCAGACACAACAAAAGGGUUAGAGACGGUGGUAGCCAGCCAAAGAGCAUAUGAAAAAUAGCAGUGACGAGGCAAAGGUUUCCACUUUGGUCCAUACUUUCUCUUGGUCCAAUUGUUAUUGCUACAAAGGGACAAAAGGCAAAACAGUCCACUCACAAGCGAAAGCGAAGACGAUGCAAAAAUUGCAAGUCAUUUGGACAUGAUAGACGAAAAU